rnacentral:tRNA from 1 species
GCGGAAAUAGCUCAGGGGUAGAGCACAACCUUGCCAAGGUUGGGGUCGCGAGUUCGAAUCUCGUUUCCCGCUCCA